AGUGAACGCUGGCGGUAGGCCUAACACAUGCAAGUCGAACGGCAGCACAGUAAGAGCUUGCUCUUACGGGUGGCGAGUGGCGGACGGGUGAGGAAUACAUCGGAAUCUACUUUUUCGUGGGGGAUAACGUAGGGAAACUUACGCUAAUACCGCAUACGACCUACGGGUGAAAGCUGGGGAUCUUCGGACCUUGCGCGAUUGAAUGAGCCGAUGUCGGAUUAGCUAGUUGGCGGGGUAAAGGCCCACCAAGGCGACGAUCCGUAGCUGGUCUGAGAGGAUGAUCAGCCACACUGGAACUGAGACACGGUCCAGACUCCUACGGGAGGCAGCAGUGGGGAAUAUUGGACAAUGGGCGCAAGCCUGAUCCAGCCAUACCGCGUGGGCGAAGAAGGCCUUCGGGUUGUAAAGCCCUUUUGUUGGGAAAGAAAAGCAGCAGGUUAAUACCCCGCUGUUCUGACGGUACCCAAAGAAUAAGCACCGGCUAACUUCGUG
rnacentral:rRNA from 1 species